CGUGGGCAACCUGCCCUUAAGAGGGGGAUAACACGGAGAAAUUCGUGCUAAUACCGCAUGAUGUCGUAGCUUUACAUGAAGCAACGAUUAAAGGAGUUAAAUCCGCUUAAGGAUGGGCCCGCGUCUGAUUAGCUAGUUGGUGAGGUAAUGGCUCACCAAGGCGACGAUCAGUAGCCGACCUGAGAGGGUGAUCGGCCACACUGGAACUGAGACACGGUCCAGACUCCUACGGGAGGCAGCAGUGGGGAAUAUUGCACAAUGGGCGAAAGCCUGAUGCAGCAACGCCGCGUGGAGGAAGAAGGUUUUCGGAUUGUAAACUCCUGUCUUUGGGGACGAAAAAAAUGACGGUACCCAAGGAGGAAGCCACGGCUAACUACGUGCCAGCAGCCGCGGUAAUACGUAGGUGGCAAGCGUUAUCCGGAAUUAUUGGGCGUAAAGGGCGCGUAGGCGGCGUCUUAAGUCAGAUGUGAAAACCCGAGGCUUAACUUCGGGCAUGCAUUUGAAA
rnacentral:rRNA from 1 species